GACGAACCGUGCGAACGUUGUUCGGAAUCACUGGGCUUAAAGGGCGCGUAGGCGGGCUGUCAAGUCUGGGGUGAAAUGCCGCGGCUCAACCGUGGAACUGCCUUAGAUACUGACGGCCUCGAGGAAGGUAGGGGCGUGCGGAACUGUAGGUGGAGCGGUGAAAUGCGUUGAUAUCUACAGGAACUCCGGUGGCGAAAGCGGCGCGCUGGACCUCUUCUGACGCUGAGGCGCGAAAGCUAGGGGAGCAAACGGG
rnacentral:rRNA from 1 species